rnacentral:rRNA from 1 species
UGUCCGUGCAAUGUGUUGCCUCCACCCAUCCUCGCGGAGAACGUAUAUGCCAUUAAUUUGGUGUGUACGGUAUCCGCGUCGUUUACUGUGAGAAAAUUAGAGUGUUUAAAGCAGGCAAUAUGCUUGAAUACAUUAGCAUGGAAUAAUAAAAUAGGACUUUGGUACUAUUUUGUGGGGUUGCAUACCAAAGUAAUGAUUAAUAGGAACAGUUGUGGAUAUUCGUAUGAGAAUGUCAGAGGUGAAAAUUUUGGAUUUUGAUCAGAGGAAAAACUGCGAAAGCAUAUAUCACGGAUGUUUUCAUUAUUCAAGAACGAAAGAGAGGGGAUAGAAGAUGAUUAGAUACCAUAGUAGUGUUAUCCAUAAAAUAUACCGACUAUGGAUAGGCGGAGGUGGUUUGUAUGAGUUCUCCAGCACCUCUCGAGAAAUAAAAGUGUUUGGGUUUUCGGGGGAGUAUAGUGGCAAGGGGGAAACUUAAAGGAAUAGAGGGAAGGGCACCCCCCCGAGUGGAGCGCGCGGGUUAAUUUUUGUCAACACGGGAAAAAUUACCAGGUCCCGACAUAGUAAGGAUUGACAGAUUGAGAGCUCUUUCUUGAUUCUAUGGGUGGUGGGCAUGGCCGUUGUUUAGUUGGUGGAGUGAUGAGUUGGGUUAAUUCUUCUAUCGACCGAGACCUCCUCAGCCUAAAUAGUUGAUAUAUUAUUAAGAAGAAUAUAUAUUGCUUGAGGGACAGAUAG